GUUUUGCAAGUCUGGUGCCAGCAGCCGCGGUAAUUCCAGCUCCAAUAGCGUAUAUUAAAGUUGUUGCAGUUAAAACGCUCGUAGUUGAACUUGGGGCCCGGCGGUUGUGGUCCGCCUCGCGGCGUGUACUGCGUGUGUCGGGCUCUGUGGUGUUUGGUUUCCUUUUCGGAGGGGGCUAGACCCGGUUUACUUUGAGGAAAUUAGAGUGUUCAAAGCAGGCGCUUAUGCCGGAAUAGAUUAGCAUGGAAUAAUAAAAUAGGACGUUGUGGUUCUGUUUUGUUGGUUGUGACGGAACUGCCGUAAUGAUGAAUAGGGACAGUUGGGGGCAUUUGUAUUGACACGCUAGAGGUGAAAUUCUUGGAUUGUGUCAAGACAAACUACUGCGAAAGAUUUGCCAAA
rnacentral:rRNA from 1 species